UGGGACAUAAGUUAUGUCCCCUGAGGUGAAGUAUUUCACAAGUAAAUAUCUUACAUAUUUGAGAAAUCUUCCAUUACAAGGCUUAAGUUUAAUCCUUGUAGGGCCUUCAAUUUGCUUAGUUAAGUGAUGACAAGAAGACAGAGGCAGCUAAAAGGAAAUGAAGAGAGAGGGCAAGUAAUAAAAGAGAAGGCCUGAAAGAAAAGUGGCGGAGAUUGAGGGCCUUUUACUGGACCUGGAAAUUGAAGCCAAGAUUAUGCAAAACUGAAGUGCCAAUGGGUUUACAUGGUUCACUCCAGGUGGAAUGAAUCCCUUUACCAUCAUACUUCCAUGAAAUUAGAAAAAAGUUACCUACAUAGGCAGAGAAUUCAACUGUGAGUUGACAAUUAUUUACGAUUCUCUUAACUGGCUGUUUCACAACGUUAUGGAGCUAAGAAAGGAUGAAAGCUUACCACUGCUUGGAUACCAGCUUGAUAAGCAGCUUGGAAUGUCAAAUAUAUAACAAGAAAGGAAAUAUUCUACUUUAAAGGAACAUGCACAUCAGAUGUCACCUGUAUAUGAAUUGUUCCUGCCACAAUACUAGCAGAAUGACGCCAAAAAUGAGGGUCUCGUUGUCACAGAAAGAACAAUGACCCAUGGGCACAAGAGAAGCACAGAAACAAGAUGAGAUAAAGCUUGAAGACGUUUAGCUCCACCAACGUCGACAGAGAGCUUUCUGGAAGCUGUAUGAAAACCAACUUUACAACACAAAGCCAGUACUAGCAAUAAUACUCCACCCUGCUUCUAGUUUUCCUCAAGACUUGAAACAACUCUGAUCUAUUCCAAAAGGAUACGGUGUUCAGCCAUUUUAGCCAUGAGAUCAUCAUUGUCAAAAAGCAAUAAACAGAUCACAGCAAUAAUGAAAAAAGCAGCUCCCCUUGUCUGAAAAUAAAGAAAACAACAUCAAGGA
ensembl:lncRNA novel transcript